GCUCCGAAAAAAGGACUUAAAAACAGUGCAAAAUCGUCGUUAAUCGACUUUAAUAGUGUGAAAAACGUGCUCAGGGCACCUGAUUUACCCUUUAAGAGCGUUAUCAAGUGUUUUUAAGGCGAAAAUUCAACAAAAAUCGUGCAUUUGUGUUUGUUGCCUAUGAACCCCCCACCAUGUGUUUGUGUGACAUGGUGUAAAAGCAGAAAAUCGAAAAAAGUGCCCAAAAAGUGCCAGAAUUGCACGAUUUUAGUGUAAACAGUGCAUCUGAGCACGAAAAAAGGUGUUAAGAAGUGAUCCGCGCAUGAAAAAACCACAAAAUUGUGAAAAAAAAUUUUGCGUCAUCCAGCCCAUACUGGGCCAAGGUUUCGCCGGAUCUCUGUUUUCAGCGAUAUAAUUUGCCCAGAUUCUCGCCGGGUGCGGUUUUUAAGGCCAGCGGGUGGCCAAAGAACGUUCAUCCAGUGAAAACCGAUCGAAAAUCGCCCGUUCUGUGACCGAAAAAAGUGAAAUAAUAUUUAAUAUUAUUCGGGGAACAAAUUUAUGAAAAUUCGGUUCCGGGUGAAAUUGGGUGGGUUGACUGUACGGCCCCUGACGGACCGAUUGUUAAGGUGCCGUUACACGAGUAACCAUAGUUUAGGUGACCAUAGACGUGCAGAAAAUUUUUGUUUUUUUUGUGACAUCUGCCAAUUGCGAAUACUCACCGUGUGCUUGUGCGACGUGGUGCAAAAACAGAAAUUCGAAAAAAGUGCCCAAAAUGUGCCUGAGUUGCACUAUUUUAGUGUAAACAGUGUAUCUGAGCACGAAAAAAGGUGUGACAUCAGUUUGACAGCUAAGCAGGGGAAUUUCAAAGUGGCAUAACUUCGGCACCCGCCAAGCUACCCCGACGGGAAAGUGUUGCCUGUGGAAGCGGUAUCGAAAUCUUUCAGGGCAGGGUGAAAUAUUUCACUUUGGAAAUAUUUCACAUUUUGGAUUUUUUUUUUUUUUUUUUUUUUUUUUUUUUUUUUUUUUUUUUUUUUUUUUUUUUU